rnacentral:lncRNA from 1 species
GAAAAUUCUGGUUAAAUUGAGGAUGAAUUGUCUGAAGCAAAUCACCACUCCCUUUUAGAAGCAUAUGAAGUCUGUAAAUUUACUGUUCUACAACUUGAAAUCUUUGCCUGAUUAUUUGUGCAAAAUCCCACUCCAUCAAAAAAUUAAGCUGUUAAAAGGCCCUUGUCUGCUGUACAUAAUAUGCAUCUGACAGCUGAUGAACACACCAGCUGGAAUCAAGCAGAUCACUCAGGAUCAGUGGGUACUGGAAAUGGGCACUGCUCCAUGGAGCAUGUCACCAGGCAGAGGCACCUCCAUCCCUUGUCAGGGCAUCCUCCUCCUCACCCCCAAGGGGCAGAGGCAGGAUGGGAGCAGGGAUCCGUCUUGGAGAGGAUGCAAUGAGGAACUGUGGUGAAGACUGGGAACAGGAGGGGACUGUUUCAGUGUCAGGUUGUAUUUAUGGGGCUUUUUAUUAUUGUUAUUAUUAUUUGUUUAUGCUUACAUUUCUCAUGGAAUAACUGUUUUGGUUUUUAAUGAUAUGUGAGGAGUGCUGCCAAAAAUGGAAAACAUUCAUUUGAAUUUUUAAUGAAGUUGAUUGUACCUCUUUUCCAUUUAAUUUCCAUGAAUAUUCUACAGAAUAUAAAGUGAAUAUUCACUGGAGCAAUAAAUGUUAUGCUAAUUCUGUGGGACA